rnacentral:rRNA from 1 species
UACGUAGGGUGCAAGCGUUGUCCGGAAUUAUUGGGCGUAAAGAGCUUGUAGGCGGUUUGUCGCGUCUGCUGUGAAAUUUCGGGGCUCAACCCCGAACUUGCAGUGGGUACGGGCAGACUAGAGUGUGGUAGGGGGAGACUGGAAUUCCUGGUGUAGCGGGUGAAAUGCGCAGAUAUCAGGAGGAACACCGGUGGCGAAGGCGGGUCUCUGGGCCGAUACUGACGCUGAGGAGCGAAAGCGUGGGGGAGCGAACAGG